GACGAAUGCUGGCUGCGUGCUUAACACAUGCAAGUCGAACGGUGAAGGGGAGCUUGCUCCCCGGAUCAGUGGCGAACGGGUGAGUAACACGUGGGCAACCUGCCCCUCACUCUGGGAUAACUCCGGGAAACCGGGGCUAAUACCGGAGACGACCGGGAGCGACAUCGCUCCUGGUGGAAAGAACUUCGGUGAGGGAUGGGCCCGCGGCCUAUCAGCUAGUUGGUGGGGUAACGGCCCACCAAGGCGACGACGGGUAGCCGGCCUGAGAGGGGGACCGGCCACACUGGGACUGAGACACGGCCCAGACUCCUACGGGAGGCAGCAGUGGGGAAUAUUGCGCAAUGGGCGAAAGCCUGACGCAGCGACGCAGCGUGAGGGACGAAGGCCUUCGGGUUGUAAACCUCUUUCAGCGGGGACGAAGCGAAAGUGACGGUACCCGCAGAAGAAGCACCGGCUAACUACGUGCCAGCCGCCGCGGUAACAC
rnacentral:rRNA from 1 species